UGGUUUCUAUCUCAGAAACAACUCCCAUCAUUUUAUACAUUAGAGAUGUUGAGAGGCCUGUUCUACAAUCUCCAAGGUGGAAGCCAUCAAAAGAAUUGCUGAGUAUGUUGCUCAACUGAAAAAGAGUUGGAAAAGGACAUGGUGGUUUAUUACCCAAGUUUAGUAUGGCUCAAGAUAACAUAUGCGAUCUUCGGUGGUGACUUUUUAAGGUAAUUAAUAUUUUUUUAAACUUCAAAUUAUAAACUUAUUUUGAUAUGAUUCAUUGGUCUUUGAUAUUGCAGGACCACUUUGAGUUUGUCCACGGAAAAAAGCAGAAGAUGUACAAUGCUUGGCAGGUGAGAGCUGCCAAGCGCCUCUGGGAGAUACUAGCAAACACCUGCAACAAGUGUGCUCUUACAGAUUGGAUCUCAAACGAUAUCCUCGCCCAGCUAAAGUUGUAUUGGAACAUAGGGGAUUAUUGGGCAAUCCGGGCUAGGGUCCGAGCCAGUCGAGCAUUUCAGAUAGAUGGAUCAGUGCACAUCGGAUGGUCCACCACCUACAAGGAAAUCGAGAAGAAGAUGGUUCGUAUCAUUUAAAGUUUUAAUUGUUAACUUAAUUUGUUUAUUUUAUUAUUAAUAAGGUUGAAACUAAUAUAAUGACUUCUUGAAAUUCUAUACCCUAUGGGCAAAAGAUCUAACUAGGUCGCAAACCUCGUUAGAGCGAGGUCUUUUAGAUAACGCACAUAAGGAAGGAUUACUGGGUAAACAAACGGUUUAAGGACACUUCUAUAAGCUCAACAAACCUAAAUAUAUCUAAACAAAUUAUAUUCAUUUGUUUAUUUAACUUUGUGUUCAUCAAUAUUAUUUGAUUUUAGAUUCAAUUUGACGUUCGGCUAGCCAAGGCCCAGCAGGAGCAUGCAACUCAAAUUGCAUAGGGCCCUAAGCCUCCAUCCAUAUCUAAGGAUAAGAUAUGGAUGCAGACAGUUGGCAACCGCAAGCGAGGGAGGGUCUAUGAAUGGUAUGUCAAUCCACCAUGACUACUCCGCAAUUUUUUUAUAUUGAAUUCAUUGCCAGCGGAGGUGUGGAUAUUAGAGAGUAGGUUACCCUAUCCAACAGGGAGCUACAA